AGAGUUUGAUCAUGGCUCAGAUUGAACGCUGGCGGCAGGCCUAACACAUGCAAGUCGAGCGGUAGCACAGAGAGCUUGCUCUCGGGUGACGAGCGGCGGACGGGUGAGUAAUGUCUGGGAAACUGCCUGAUGGAGGGGGAUAACUACUGGAAACGGUAGCUAAUACCGCAUAACGUCGCAAGACCAAAGUGGGGGACCUUCGGGCCUCAUGCCAUCAGAUGUGCCCAGAUGGGAUUAGCUAGUAGGUGGGGUAACGGCUCACCUAGGCGACGAUCCCUAGCUGGUCUGAGAGGAUGACCAGCCACACUGGAACUGAGACACGGUCCAGACUCCUACGGGAGGCAGCAGUGGGGAAUAUUGCACAAUGGGCGCAAGCCUGAUGCAGCCAUGCCGCGUGUGUGAAGAAGGCCUUCGGGUUGUAAAGCACUUUCAGCGGGGAGGAAGGCGUUAAGGUUAAUAACCUUGGCGAUUGACGUUACCCGCAGAAGAAGCACCGGCUAACUCCGUGCCAGCAGCCGCGGUAAUACGGAGGGUGCAAGCGUUAAUCGGAAUUACUGGGCGUAAAGCGCACGCAGGCGGUCUGUCAAGUCGGAUGUGAAAUCCCCGGCUCAACCUGGGAACUGCAUUCGAAACUGGCAGGCUAGAGUCUUGUAGAGGGGGGUAGAAUUCCAGGUGUAGCGGUGAAAUGCGUAGAGAUCUGGAGGAAUACCGGUGGCGAAGGCGGCCCCCUGGACAAAGACUGACGCUCAGGUGCGAAAGCGUGGGGAGCAAACAGGAUUAGAUACCCUGGUAGUCCACGCCGUAAACGAUGUCGAUUUGGAGGUUGUGCCCUUGAGGCGUGGCUUCCGGAGCUAACGCGUUAAAUCGACCGCCUGGGGAGUACGGCCGCAAGGUUAAAACUCAAAUGAAUUGACGGGGGCCCGCACAAGCGGUGGAGCAUGUGGUUUAAUUCGAUGCAACGCGAAGAACCUUACCUGGUCUUGACAUCCACAGAACUUAGCAGAGAUGCUUUGGUGCCUUCGGGAACUGUGAGACAGGUGCUGCAUGGCUGUCGUCAGCUCGUGUUGUGAAAUGUUGGGUUAAGUCCCGCAACGAGCGCAACCCUUAUCCUUUGUUGCCAGCGGUUCGGCCGGGAACUCAAAGGAGACUGCCAGUGAUAAACUGGAGGAAGGUGGGGAUGACGUCAAGUCAUCAUGGCCCUUACGACCAGGGCUACACACGUGCUACAAUGGCAUAUACAAAGAGAAGCGACCUCGCGAGAGCAAGCGGACCUCAUAAAGUAUGUCGUAGUCCGGAUUGGAGUCUGCAACUCGACUCCAUGAAGUCGGAAUCGCUAGUAAUCGUAGAUCAGAAUGCUACGGUGAAUACGUUCCCGGGCCUUGUACACACCGCCCGUCACACCAUGGGAGUGGGUUGCAAAAGAAGUAGGUAGCUUAACCUUCGGGAGGGCGCUUACCACUUUGUGAUUCAUGACUGGGGUGAAGUCGUAACAAGGUAACCGUAGGGGAACCUGCGGUUGGAUCACCU
rnacentral:rRNA from 1 species